rnacentral:miRNA from 10 species
UGGUGCAAAAGUAAUUGCGGUUUUUGCCAUUGGAAAUAAUGGCAAAAACCGCAAUUACUUUUGUAUCAA